UGGGUUGGCCAAAAAGUUCGUUCGGGUUUUUCCAUAAGAUGUUAUGAAAGACUUUUUGGCCAACCCA
rnacentral:miRNA from 1 species